rnacentral:misc_RNA from 1 species
UCCGGCUUAACGCCGGCAGUCUCCUUAGAGUGCCCAACUGAAUGGUGGCAACUAAGGACAAGGGUUGCGCUCGUUGCGGGACUUAACCCAACAUCUCACGACACGAGCUGACGACAGCCAUGCAGCACCUGUAUCUCGGUUCCCGAAGGCACCAAUCCAUCUCUGGAAAGUUCCGAGUAUGUCAAGGGCAGGUAAGGUUCUUCGCGUUGCAUCGAAUUAAACCACAUGCUCCACCGCUUGUGCGGGUCCCCGUCAAUUCCUUUGAGUUUUACCGUUGCCGGCGUACUCCCCAGGCGGAGAACUUAACGCGUUAGCUGCGUCACAAAGUCCUCAAGGAAGGUGGGGAUGACGUGGCGCAACUAACCA